GGAUGGCUAGCUCAGAGGAAGAGCGCUUCGUUGACAUCGAAGAGGUCAUAGGUUCGAGUCCUAUGCCAUCCACCA
rnacentral:tRNA from 1 species